AUGAAGCCUUUUAGUGGGGAGGAGAUUACACGUGCUCUGAACAGUAUUGGGGAUCUUAAGGCCCGGGGUCCGAAUGGGAUGCCGGCGAUUUUCUACAAAAAGUUCUAGGAGAAGAUGGAAGCUAAAAUUCAAGAGGAAGUCCUGAGUGUUUUGAACGGUGGUGACAUGCCCGUGGGGUGGAAUGAGACAAUUAUAGUGUUGAUCCCGAAGGUAAAGAACCCUGAUCAUCUCACCCAAUAUUGUCCAAUUAGCCUUUGCAAUGUUCUUUAUAAACUUAUCUCAAAGGUCUUGGCAAACCACUUGAAGGUCAUCCUCCCGGAUAUCAUAUCCCCGACCCAAUCUGCUUUCGUGCUGAGGCACAUGAUCACGGAUAAUGUAUUGCUAGCAUAUGAGAUCACCCACAUGAUGCAUAGGAAGAAAGGAGGCCGAGACAGGCUGGUGGCGGUCAAAUUGGACAUGAGUAAAGCCCAUGACAGGGUGGAAUGGGACUUCCUUGAGAAAAUGAUGGUGCAUAUGGGCUUCUCGAAUGCCUGUGUUAGUAUUAUUAUGAACUGUGUGCGAUCUAUUUCAUACCGAGUGAAAGUGAAUGGCAAACUAACUGAGGCUUUCCUUCCUCGGCAGGGUCUCCGGCAGGGCGACCCAUUAUCAUCGUACCUAUUCAUCUUAUGUGCAGAAGCUUUCUCCAUCCUUCUGCAGCAUGUUGAGCUUGAUCAUACGAUUGAGGGGAUCCAGAUCUGCCCACAAGCACCCAGAAUCAACCAUCUAUUUUUUGCGGAUGAUUUAAUCAUUGUUAUGAAAGAAACAGUGGCUAGUGCGGAGAAGCUCCAGCAAGUCUUGGCUUUGUAUGAAGCUCAGUCGGGCCAGAUGAUCAACAAAGAUAAGUUGUCUGCUUUCUUUAGCAAGGGUACGAGUGGACCUCCGAAACAACAAGUGCUCAGUGUGCUCCACAUUCCAUCUGAAUCAAAAAACGAACAUUACUUGGGGCUCCCAGUUCACCUGGGGGCUGCAAAAAGUAAAGAAUUUGAAUAUUUGAAAGAGAAAAUCUGGAAGCGUAUACAGGGCUGGAUUGAAAAACUGCUCACGAAGGUGGGUAAAGUGUUGGGGAACGUAGCAUAA
rnacentral:rRNA from 1 species